UCGCCCGCCGGCCGCGCGCAACAACGAUAAUAACGCGUGUGUAGUACGGUUUCUGUUCUGUUCGAUUUAAUUAUCGGAUAUCAUAUUAUUGUUCGGAAGUCGUAUGUUAUAAUAAAUAUUAUCGCGUACAAUAUGAUACAUUACAUUGUACGCUGUACGCUGUCACACGUCGAUCGUCGACACGUAUGCACAAACGCGCGCGCACGCCGUACAUUACGCGAAACGGCGGGCGGUGUGUUAGCGGUGUUUCGGACAAACGGAAAUCGCAACGAACUCGUAACUUUACGAAUAUAUUGUUUUUUUUUUUUUUUAUUUUUUUUUUUUUACACGCCGCACACAAGACAAAACCAGACGGUCUUUUAUAAUUAUUACGCCCGAAUAUAUAGCGUGUACAUUGUAAAAUAUUGUAAUAAUAUUACGGUGCUCGUGAACGUUAUAUUAAUACGUUAUGAUGUUCGAUAGAGCGGUGUAUUUUAUCCUCGCCCAUCGCGGUGUUCGUAACUUCGCCGUCAACCGUUCCUGAUCUUUGACCUGUUUUGUGAAAAGAAAAAAUAAUAAUAAUAAUAAUAACUACAAUAUAUUGUCGGUUUUGCAUUUCCCCGUCGUCGGACAGAAUUUCAUUAACUGUAUGUAUAAUAUAGGUGCAUUGUAAAUAAUAUAGGUAUCUACCAGUAAGUUAACGUUGUAACACCGUGCGUCGUGCUGCGGACGCGUCACGUCCGGGCGGUUUUUUGAAGUUCGUAACCCGAUGGUUUUUACUAGUGCAACAGUAGUAAUGCAUAAAAACGCCUACUUUUUCGUACCGUCGGCUCCGCGACGAAACCUCGUAAGUCGAAAAAAUCGAUAUUUUAAUUUUUGUACGAAAUUAAUUAGUACACUGGACUGUUCUACACGGUUCGACAUCUGCGGCGCGAUUCGAUUCGUUAUUUUCAUAUUAUACAAUAAUAUACGAAAACAACCAACUCAAACCGACCUACGAGGCUAGGUCGGAUCAGCAAAACGGUGUAUUAAAACCUCGUGAGUCCGUGUAUACGUACAAUUUUUUGAAAAUCCGGAAUUCGCCAGUCAAAUGUCGAGAAAUUGAAAAUAUGUACCCUCGGGGAAAUACUAUCGAAUAAUCUGUGUGUAGAAUAUUUAAAUAGUAAAAAGCGAAGAAAAAAAAAAAAAAAAGAACUAUUGAAAUCAUUGGCUUUGGGUAAAAAUCCGCUGCAGUUUUUCGCUUCUCCCCUGUAAAAUCGUAUUAAAUCGACUCGCGAAAUUUCAUCAAAAACCCGCAGAUACGUAUUUUCGACUUGAAGCACUCGACCACUCAUUACCACCUUACCACCACCACCUCCGCCACCACCGGUGACUAUGUUUCACACGCGGUUUAUUUAUAGAGUACUGUAAUUAUUGCGACGAAGUGGCGUCUAUUAUUAUAUUAUGAACGCGGGCGGGACCGAAGGUUUGUCUUAGUGUCGUAUUAAUAGCGAACGUUUUUUUGACUCUCUCUCUCUCUCUUCUCUGUCUGUUUAUUCAAUGACGUUUCUGAAUUUCAAUAUUUUUGUCGCGUUUUAAAUAAUAUUUUCGUCGUCGUCUGCACCGCAAUAAUAAUAUUAUUAUUAAAGCAACGCCUUCCUACGUGAAUUAAAAAAGACCGCCGUCACCGGUAGCAUGUUUUCCGUUUCAUCAGUCUUUCUUUAACGGGCGCGAUAUAUAAAGAGUGAAAAUGUGAUCGACUAAACAAACGUACAUAACCUUUAAAAUCGGUUUUAUACUAUAAAACACCUGUAAUAUUAUUAUAUAUAUAAUAUAUUUUAAAGACAACGGUGUGUUUUAAACGUCUACCUCGUAGGCAUUUUACUAUUGUCGAAAACAGUAUUCAAUUCAUUAUCGAAGGUACAACAAAUCAUAUUGAUUUACAUCAUUUUUUUUUUUACUUGUAAACCGUAAUUUUGUGUAAAUAAUGAAUAUUUUAAAAAUUUAAAACGUACACUUAACUACACAUUUUUAUAGUACACGUUUUAUCUAUAAAAACCGAUUUUUAGGGUCUUUUAAGUUCGUGUUACGUGAACACAUUUUCGCUAUAUUUUCUAUAAAAAAAGACACAUAUGACAAUUUUUUUAUCUUAUGAAAAAUAUAUAUCUAACAUAAGUGACAUGUGUGACGAUUCCGGAAGAAAGACUUUUUUUACAGAUAUUGCAUAAUCGCAAAUUACUUAUAAAAUUAUUUUUUACGCGUCUUAAGUGCGUCUCAUUACUUGUUGUUGAAGUUUUCAAACACACCAAAUCACCCGUCACAAUCAUGUACAAUAUUCAGAUAAUGUCAUCGCAAUUAUAUCGGUAACUUAUUUGUUUUUUUUUU